UGACCACCUGCAAAAAGCAGGCCAAGGCCAUACGGACAGCCGGGUCAACUGCCGA
rnacentral:sRNA from 1 species